rnacentral:rRNA from 1 species
GACGAACGCUGGCGGCGUGCUUAACACAUGCAAGUCGAACGAAGUGGCGAACGGGUGAGUAAUACGUGGGUAACCUGCCCUCCUUUUUGGGAUAAGCCUUGGAAAUGGGGUCUAAUACCGAAUAAAGGGGGAUGGGCUCGCGGCCUAUCAGCUUGUUGGUGGGGUGAUGGCCUAACAAGGCGGUGACGGGUAGCCGGGCUGUUAGGGUGAACGGGCACAGUGGGACUGUGAUACGGCCCAGACUCGUACGUGAGGCAGCAGUGGGGGAUAUGGCACAAGGGGCGAACGCCUGAUGCAGCGACGCCGCGUGAGGGAUGAAGGCUGUCGGGUUGUAAACCUCUUUCGCUAUCGAAGGGGUAGGUGGAGAAGAAGCGCCGGCGAACUACGUGCCAGCAGCCGCGGUAAUUC